rnacentral:rRNA from 1 species
AGAGCGAACGCUGGCGGCAGGCCUAACACAUGCAAGUCGAGCGCCGUAGCAAUACGGAGCGGCAGACGGGAGAGUAACACGUGGGAACGUACCCUUUGGUUCGGAACAACACAGGGAAACUUGUGCUAAUACCGGAUAAGCCCUUACGGGGAAAGAUUUAUCGCCAAAGGAUCGGCCCGCGUCUGAUUAGCUUGUUGGUGAGGUAACGGCUCACCAAGGCUACGAUCAGUAGCUGGUCUGAGAGGAUGAUCAGCCUCACUGGGACUGAGACACGGCCCAGACUCCUACGGGAGGCAGCAGUGGGAAUAUUGGACAUAAGGGCGCAAGCCUGAUCCAGCCAUGCCGCGUGGGUGAUGAAGGCCCUAGGGUUGUAAAGCCCUUUCGGCGGGGAAGAUAAUGACGGUACCCGCAGAAGAGCCCGGCUAACUUCGCGCCAGCAGCCGC